UACGAGGGGUGCAAGCGUUAUUCGGAUUUAUUGGGCGUAAAGGGUGUGUAGGUGGUAUGUUAAGUCUGUUGUUAAAUUUUCCGGCCUAACCGGAAACAUGCAGUGGAAACUGGCGCACUUGAGGAUGGAAGAGGGAAGUGGAAUUCUCGGAGUAGCGGUAAAAUGCGUGGAUCUCGAGAGGAACACCGAUGGCGAAGGCAGCUUCCUGGUCCAUACCUGACACUGAGACACGAAAGCGUGGGGAGCAAACAGG
rnacentral:rRNA from 1 species